rnacentral:rRNA from 1 species
CCCGGCGACCGGCGCACGGGUGAGUAACGCGUAUGCAACUUACCUAUCAGAGGGGGAUAACCCGGCGAAGGUCGGACUAAUACCGCAUGAAGCAGGGGCCCCGCAUGGGGAUAUUUGCUAAAGAUUCAUCGCUGAUAGAUAGGCAUGCGUUCCAUUAGGCAGUUGGCGGGGUAACGGCCCACCAAACCGACGAUGGAUAGGGGUUCUGAGAGGAAGGUCCCCCACAUUGGUACUGAGACACGGACCAAACUCCUACGGAAGGCAGCAG